AGCGAACGCUGGCGGCAGGCCUAACACAUGCAAGUCGAACGAACUCUUCGGAGUUAGUGGCGGACGGGUGAGUAACACGUGGGAACGUGCCUUUUGGUUCGGAAUAACUCAGGGAAACUUGUGCUAAUACCGAAUGUGCCCUUCGGGGGAAAGAUUUAUCGCCAUUAGAGCGGCCCGCGUCUGAUUAGCUAGUUGGUGAGGUAACGGCUCACCAAGGCGACGAUCAGUAGCUGGUCUGAGAGGAUGACCAGCCACACUGGGACUGAGACACGGCCCAGACUCCUACGGGAGGAAGCAGUGGGGAAUCUUGCGCAAUGGGCGAAAGCCUGACGCAGCCAUGACGCGUGAAUGAUGAAGGUCUUAGGAUUGUAAAAUUCUUUCACCGGGGACGAUAAUGACGGUACCCGGAGAAGAAGCCCCGGCUAACUUCGUG
rnacentral:rRNA from 1 species